GUCCACGCCGUAAACUAUGGGUGCCAGCCGUCGGUGAGCUUGCUCAUCGGUGGCGCAGCUAACGCUUUAAGCACCCCGCCUGGGGAGUACGGUCGCAAGAAUUAAAACUCAAAAGGAAUUGGACGGGGGCCCGCACAAGCGGUGGAGCAUGUGGUUUAAUUCGAAGCAACGCGCAGAACCUUACCAACCCUUGACAUCCCGGUUGCGAGGAUCAGAGAUGAGCCUUUUCAGGUUAAGCUGGACCGGUGACAGGUGCUGCAUGGCUGUCGU
rnacentral:rRNA from 1 species